UCAAAACCCAAACCACCUCUCAGGAAGUGUUAAGCAAGCUACAGGCAUCCCAGCUGAGAGAAAAGGAGUCAAAGGCAGAGGUGGGGUGAGAAGGCUCUUCACAGCUCUGGUGGGGGUAAGGCCAGGCUGAGACACUCCAUGCACCCUUGGAGUCCCGGUACACCCUCAAGUACACCGUGAGCCCUGUUUUCCCUCAGGACAGGGAACUGAUCCAUGCUCCUAGAGCAUCUAUAUUAGCAUUUCAGCCUCUAGCUGGAAGCCUUCACAGAGGCCCAUCCUUCCACAUGCACCUGUGGAAGCCAGCAGAAUCUGUUGUCAGUGCCCACAGUCAUGGCCCUGAAUACCUCUGACAAGUCCAUGCUGCGCAAGGACAUCAGGGCCCGUAUAUACAAUGCUCCACAUUUUGUACCCCAGGUCUUGUCUGGUGCUGUUUUGCACUGUCUUUACUCCAAACUGUUGAACGGCUGCCUUGAUCACCUGCUCCAUCCCCUGUCCUGUUGACUCCAUUGUCCUUCAUCUUCAUGUUCUAGGCUCUCAAAACUGACCACACAGCUAGCCAAUGUCUCCAGAAUCCAUAGAAUGACUCAGCGGCUCUCCUAGGAACACCAGCAGGGAUGGAGGGAUGAACUAUAGCUAACAGUCCUCAUGGGGACUCCAGAGUCAGCACAGGAUGCUGGGAAGAUGGGGAUCAGGUUCCAAAAUCUGGGGGACUGGACUGAGGUGUUCCUGGGGCAGCUAGAGCGGUGAAGGGCAGCAGAGGCUUUUCUGGUAAGAAUCUUUGGCCAAAGAGAAAGAAGGGAGUGCCAUCUUGCCAAACCCUGCCAGCGAGUGGCCUGAGGAAUCCCAGUGAAAGACCUUAAAGGGCCCUGGGGACAGGGGGGACAGAGAGAGCCUUGGGGUAGGGAGACACUAAAGUAGGCCCAGCAACCUACUAGCUAUGGAGGUAGUGAGCCCACAUCCCCUCCCACUCACCACUGAGGGGUAACAGCUUGGCUCACCCUGCUUGAAGCCAAGGGAGGAAGCACUGUGCUCUCCACCCCAACCCCAGCCAUCGAUCACUUUGUCGGGCCCAAUCAAGUUGCCCGAAGAGCCAAGUUGAAUCUACAGGCCUGGCUGGGAGCGCCAGCUGCCUCCUCCUUUGGGAUUUUCUAUACCGUCUUUCCUAGAGCUCUCAAGAUCCCUCCCUGGUGCAUGGCUAGGAGCACAUAUGGGCCAUGGCAGAGCCUACGGCUCCUACUGGACUGCCUCUAUCCCAAGAUUGUCCUAAGGGGUCCCUUGGGCUCCUGGAGGGCAGUGGCCGGGCACCUCCUCAUCCUGAUGCACUUUGCCAGUGGGUCACUGUCUGGGCCCAACAUUUUCAGGACCUGCCCCCAGCUUAUGGUGGUGAGGUUGUUCUAACCUCACGGCUAGAAAAGGAGAGACAGAUGGAGGUCCAUGUCUUCUCUGUCCCACCACUCACUGCCUAGGUGGCACAGCCUGAAACCAAGCAGGGGCCCUUUCAGGCCCAUGGAGUCAGCUCUGCCUGAGUGUAAAUCCAUGGCCUUGUGCUGUGGUCUGAAUGUGUCCCCUGAAAGUGUUAGAAACUCAGCCCUUAGUGCAGCAGUGCUGAGGUGUGGGACCUUCAAGAGGGGAUUAGGUCCCAUCCAUGGAUUCAUGGGGUAGCUGGGGAUUAAGUAAGUCUAUGAACUAAUGUGCUUUGCCUGUCACAGAGCCACAAGAAGGCCCCACCAGAGGCCAGCCCCUGCUUCUGAACCUCUCAGCCUCUAGAAUCAUGAGCCAAGUAAACCUUUUUUGCCCAGUCAGGUUUCUUUGGUUUUCUGUUUUUUGUUUUAUAGCGACUUAAAACAGACUAAGACUUCUUUGACCUGAAAGCUCAGUGUGACCUGCCUGAUAACACACUUUGUCCUGUUGUUUGCGGUACUGGGGGUUCAACCCAGGGAUGCUCUACCACCAGCUACACCCAGCCGUUCUUUUUUUUUGUUUGUUUGUUUUGUUUUGUUUUUUUUUUUUUUUGUUUUGUUUUGUUUUGAGAUAGGAUCUGGCUAAGUUUCCUAAGCUGGCAUUGAACUUGUGAUCCUUCUGCCACAUCCUCCUAAGUGGCUGGGAUUAUAGGUGCCAAUCACUAUGGCCCAUUUUAUUAAUCCCACCUCAAAUGGUAGUUUUUAUCCCUUCUGAGCUUCAGCCCAGCCCCUGGUCCCCAACAGAACCCCUUCUUCCCUCCACUACCCUCUUACUCCCAAGAAGGGGCAGAACCUGAUCCCUCCUGUUGUGGGCUAAAUGAUGUCCUCUAAAAUGCAUAUGCUGAAGUCCUGACCUCAGGAGCUAAAAUGUGACCUUAUUUGGAAAUAGGGUUGCCACAGAUGGAGCUAGUGGAGAUGAGGUCAUUGGGGAAGGCCCUGCACCAGUAUGACUGUGGUCCUGACAAAAAGGGGAAAUCUGGCCUCCGACACACGCAGAGAAAAGGCCGCACGAUCAUGCAGGCAAAGGUGACCCUCCUACCUCCUGCUUCUCAGAGGACGUAGACAGACAUCUUCCCAGGCUGAGGAGGACCAGCUGCUACACUGAGAGCACAGAAUGUGUCCUCAGCUCACAUCCAGCAUCUCUGCUGCCUAUAUUCACCCCUGGCUUCCCUGCACCCUAGAAUAUGUGAGCUGCACUGGAGUGGACUCAAGCCCUUUCACAUUUUCCCUGCCUCUGCCUUCCUGCUCCCUCUGAACCAUUCUAGGGGUGUGCGCUCCAAGGGUUCACACCUAAAAACAAAAGCCCAAACCUCCAUGGAGCUGCAGCCCCUUCCCACCCAAGUUCCAUCCCAUCUCCACCAGCAGCUGCCCAGGGGUAGUGUCUCAGGCCAUCAGUCAUGUCCGUGUCCCAGCACAUGCUGUCUGAGAGCCACAGGUGCUCUGCUAGAGGCAGGCUUACCAGAGCAGGCUGAGCCUCUGGAAGCUAAGUAUUGCCCCAAAAAGCAGACACAACUGUUUGUCCAGUCCAGAUCGUUCACUCACACUCCAAGUAUUCGGUUCAGGGCAGGUGGGACCUUAUCUCAUCCACUGUCCUGUCCCCAGGGUCCAGCAAGGAUAUGAGCAAAACAGAGUGGGCAGUGGGGCUCAGCUGAAGUUCAGUCAGGAGGAUCCUAAGGCCGGCAGAGGACACAGACAGAUGCCAGGAGGAACAGGGUAGCCUUCAGGGGCAUCUCUGGAGGACCUUUGCAAGGACAAGACCUGGGCAAAGACCAUGUCUGUUGCUGUCCCCUGUGUCUCCUGCUAGGCACAGGUGAGCAGGAGUACUGGGUAGAGGGAUAGAGAGAGGAACAGAGCCCCAGAAGGCUCUAAGGAGACAGUUAAGCUCUACUUGGUGGGUGAGGGAACAAGGGGGAAGUUGUAGCUGGUCCUCUGCCAAAUAAAAGGAGAACUUUGGGAGGCAACCAUAGGAGGGACUCCAAUCUCUUCAAUGGAGUGGGUCAGAACAAAAGGACUCCAAGGAACUAGUAGUGUCCCUGUGUACUCUGCUUUCUGCCACAUAGGGACACAGAAACAAAAUACCCCCAUUUAAGGGGAAAGCACACACCUUACACUGAAUCUGCCAGCACCUUGAACUUGGGCUUCCUGACACCCAGAACUGAAAGGAAAUAUAUUUCUGUUCUUCAUAAAUGA